rnacentral:rRNA from 1 species
UGGGGAAUUUUGGACAAUGGGCGCAAGCCUGAUCCAGCAAUGCCGCGUGCAGGAAGAAGGCCUUCGGGUUGUAAACUGCUUUUGUACGGAACGAAAAGGUCCUGGCUAAUACCUGGGAUUUAUGACGGUACCGUAAGAAUAAGCACCGGCUAACUACGUGCCAGCAGCCGCGGUAAUACGUAGGGUGCGAGCGUUAAUCGGAAUUACUGGGCGUAAAGCGUGCGCAGGCGGUUAUGUAAGACAGUUGUGAAAUCCCCGGGCUUAACCUGGGAAUUGCAUCUGUGACUGCAUAGCUAGAGUGCGGCAGAGGGGGAUGGAAUUCCGCGUGUAGCAGUGAAAUGCGUAGAUAUGCGGAGGAACACCGAUGGCGAAGGCAAUCCCCUGGGCCUGCACUGACGCU